GGGGCCAUGCUCCUUGUUCGACUUCCCCCAGUCAUCGGCCACACCGUGGUAACCGCCCUCUUUGCAGUUAGGCUAGCUACUUCUGGUGCAACAAACUCCCAUGGUGUGACGGGCGGUGUGUACAAGGCCCGGGAACGUAUUCACCGCGGCAUUCUGAUCCGCGAUUACUAGCGAUUCCGACUUCAUGGAGUCGAGUUGCAGACUCCAAUCCGGACUACGAUCGGCUUUUUGAGAUUAGCAUCACAUCGCUGUGUAGCAACCCUUUGUACCGACCAUUGUAGCACGUGUGUAGCCCUGGCCGUAAGGGCCAUGAUGACUUGACGUCGUCCCCGCCUUCCUCCAGUUUGUCACUGGCAGUAUCCUUAAAGUUCCCAUCCGAAAUGCUGGCAAGUAAGGAAAAGGGUUGCGCUCGUUGCGGGACUUAACCCAACAUCUCACGACACGAGCUGACGACAGCCAUGCAGCACCUGUAUCUAGAUUCCCGAAGGCACCAAUCCAUCUCUGGAAAGUUUCUAGUAUGUCAAGGCCAGGUAAGGUUCUUCGCGUUGCAUCGAAUUAAACCACAUGCUCCACCGCUUGUGCGGGCCCCCGUCAAUUCAUUUGAGUUUUAGUCUUGCGACCGUACUCCCCAGGCGGUCUACUUAUCGCGUUAGCUGCGCCACUAAAGCCUCAAAGGCCCCAACGGCUAGUAGACAUCGUUUACGGCAUGGACUACCAGGGUAUCUAAUCCUGUUUGCUCCCCAUGCUUUCGUACCUCAGCGUCAGUAUUAGGCCAGAUGGCUGCCUUCGCCAUCGGUAUUCCUCCAGAUCUCUACGCAUUUCACCGCUACACCUGGAAUUCUACCAUCCUCUCCCAUACUCUAGCUCACCAGUAUCGAAUGCAAUUCCCAAGUUAAGCUCGGGGAUUUCACAUCCGACUUAAUAAGCCGCCUACGCACGCUUUACGCCCAGUAAAUCCGAUUAACGCUCGCACCCUCUGUAUUACCGCGGCUGCUGGCACAGAGUUAGCCGGUGCUUAUUCUGCGAGUAACGUCCACUAUCUCUAGGUAUUAACUAAAGUAGCCUCCUCCUCGCUUAAAGUGCUUUACAACCAUAAGGCCUUCUUCACACACGCGGCAUGGCUGGAUCAGGGUUCCCCCCAUUGGCCAAAAUUCCCCACUGGGUGCCUCCCGUAGGAGUCCUGGGCCGUGGCUCAUUCCCAGUGUGGCGGAAUAUCUCUUCAAAACCCGUUAAAAACGACCCCUUGGAAAGCCUUUUCCCCCCCAACUAAUUUAUCCCCAACUUAGGGUCUCUUUAUAGGCAAGGGGCCAAA
rnacentral:rRNA from 1 species